GAUGAAGAACGUAGCGAAAUGCGAUACUUGGUGUGAAUUGCAGAAUCCCGUGAACCAUCGAGUCUUUGAACGCAAGUUGCGCCCGAAGCCAUUAGGCCGAGGGCACGCCUGCCUGGGUGUCACACACCGUUACCCUCGCGCCAACGUCCAUCGUUGGCCGCGGCGCGGGGCGUGCGCUGACCUCCCGCGAGCGGGGUCUCGUGGUUGGUUGAAAAUCGAGUUCGCGGUCGAGGGUGCCGUGAUGAAAUGGUGGAUGGGCGACGCCCGAGGCCAAUCACGCGCGACUCUGUCCGGGUCGGACUCCUGGACCCCUUCGGCGUCUCCGGACGCUCUUUGGCGAGACCUCAGGUCAGGCGGGGCUACCCGCUGAGUUUAAGCAUAUCAAUAAGCGGAGGA
rnacentral:misc_RNA from 1 species